rnacentral:rRNA from 1 species
AUGGGCGCAAGCCUGAUCUAGCCAUGCCGCGUGAGUGAUGAAGGCCUUAGGGUCGUAAAGCUCUUUCGCCUGUGAUGAUAAUGACAGUAGCAGGUAAAGAAACCCCGGCUAACUCCGUGCCAGCAGCCGCGGUAAUACGGAGGGGGUUAGCGUUGUUCGGAAUUACUGGGCGUAAAGCGCACGUAGGCGGAUUGGAAAGUUGGGGGUGAAAUCCCGGGGCUCAACCCCGGAACUGCCUCCAGAACUAUGAGUCUAGAGUUCGAGAGAGGUGAGUGGAAUUCCAAGUGUAGAGGUGAAAUUCGUAGAUAUUUGGAGGAACACCAGUGGCGAAGGCGGCUCACUGGCUCGAUACUGACGCUGAGGUGCGAAAGUGUGGGGAGCAAACAGGAUUAGAUACCCUGGUAGUCCACACCGUAAACGAUGAAUGCCAGUCGUCGGGCAGUAUACUGUUCGGUGACACACCUAACGGAUUAAGCAUUCCGCCUGGGGAGUACGGUCGCAAGAUUAAAACUCACAUGGAAUUGACGGGGGCCCGCACAAGCGGUGGAGCAUGUGGUUUAAUUCGAAGCAACGCGCAGAACCUUACCAACCCUUGACAUACUCGUCGUCGCUCCAGAGAUGGAGCUUUCAGUUCGGCUGGACGAGAUACAGGUGCUGCAUGGCUGUCGUCAGCUCGUGUCGUGGGAUGUUCGGUUAAGUCCGGCAACGAGCGCAACCCACAUCCCUAGUUGCCAGCAGUUCGGCUGGGCACUCUAUGGAAACUGCCCGUGAUAAGCGGGAGGAAGGUGUGGAUGACGUCAAGUCCUCAUGGCCCUUACGGGU